AUUACAGAUUGUGAGAAUAGAGUAUGUGCAUUCUAAAGGAUUUUUGCAUCGAGACAUCAAACCGGAUAACUUCCUCAUGGGUCUUGGCAGAAAAGCAAAUCAGGUAUAUAUUAUUGAUUUUGGAUUAGCAAAAAGAUAUCGUGACCCUACCACAAGCCGCCAUAUUCCUUACAGGCUUUGACUUCGAUUAUGUAUUUGACUGGACCAUUCUAAAGUACCAGAAUACACAGAGAAGUUGGGAAAAGUGGAUCAAAAGUUCAUGAACCAGACGAGCACCCUCCCCAACAUAUUUCUUAACAAGUUCACGAAGCUAAAGUGUACAAGACUACUUGGCAGUAUAAGCAUUUUUUGGAGGAUUAAAUAUUUUUGGAUGGAUGUGUAUGGAUAACAAAUAUUAGUAGUUUUAUUUGUUGAUAGCUGCGCAUGGAUAACAAAUAGUUAUGUUUCAAAUUGUUAUGCU